rnacentral:rRNA from 1 species
AUUGAACGCUGGCGGCAGGCCUAACACAUGCAAGUCGAACGAGUGGCGGACGGGUGAGUAAUGUCUGGGAAACUGCCUGAUGGAGGGGGAUAACUACUGGAAACGGUCGCUAAUACCGCAUACCAUCGGAUGUGCCCAGAUGGGAUUAGCUAGUAGGUGGGGUAAAGGCUCACCUAGGCGACGAUCCCUAGCUGGUCUGAGAGGAUGACCAGCAAACUUGGAACUGAGACACGGUCCAGACUCUGAGGGGGGGAAGAAGUGGGGAAUAUUGAACAAUGGGCGCAAGCCGGAUGAAGCCAUGCGGGGUGUAUGAGGAAGGCCUUCGGGUUGUAAAGUACUUUCAGCGGGGAGGCGUUACCCGCAGAAGAAGAACCGGCAAACUCCGUGCAAGACGCCGGGUAAUAC